rnacentral:RNase_P_RNA from 1 species
CCUUGUGAUAGUGAAAGGGUGCGGUAAGAGCGCACCGCGGCCCCGGCAACGGGGACGGCAUGGUAAACCCCACCGGGAGCAAGACCGAAUAGGGGCGGCGCGGGGAGCAAUCCCCAGGCUAUUUCGGCCCAGACCGCCCGGGUUGGUUGCUUGAGCCGUGCAGCAAUGUACGGCCUAGAGGAAUGGUCGCCUAUCCUUCGCAAGAAGGUGGACAGAACCCGGCUUACAGACCCUCUGGCAAU